rnacentral:rRNA from 1 species
CCUACGGGAGGCAGCAGUGGGGAAUCUUGUGCAAUGGACGAAAGUCUGACACAGCCACGCCGCGUGCGGGAAGAAGGCCUUCGGGUUGUAAACCGCUUUCAGCAGGAACGAAAAUGACGGUACCUGCAGAAGAAGAUGCGGCCAACUACGUGCCAGCAGCCGCGGUGAUACGUAGGCAUCAAGCGUUGUCCGGAUUUAUUGGGCGUAAAGAGCUCGUAGGCGGUUCAGCAAGUCGGGUGUGAAAACUCUGGGCUUAACCCAGAGCCUGCACUCGAAACUGCUGUGACUAGAGUUCGGUAGGGGAGCAGGGAAUUCCUAGUGUAGCGGUGAAAUGCGCAGAUAUUAGGAGGAACACCAAUGGCGAAGGCACUGCUCUGGGCCGAUACUGACGCUGAGGAGCGAGAGCGUGGGUAGCAAACAGGAUUAGAUACCCUGGUAGUCCACGCCGUAAACGAUGGGCACUAGGUGUGGGUCUCUAACCAACGAGAUCUGCGCCGUCGCUAACGCAUUAAGUGCCCCGCCUGGGGAGUACGGUCGCAAGACAAAACUCAAAGGAAUUGACGG